rnacentral:rRNA from 1 species
UACGUAGGGCGCAAGCGUUGUCCGGAAUUAUUGGGCGUAACGCGCCCGUAGGCGGCUUUGUACGUUCGCGGUGAAAGCCCGGGGCUCAACUCCGGAAUUGCCUUUAAGACUGCAUCGCUAGAAUUGUGGAGAGGUAAGUGGAAUUCCGAGUGUAGAGGUGAAAUUCGUAGAUAUUCGGAAGAACACCAGUGGCGAAGGCGACUUACUGGACACAUAUUGACGCUGAGGUGCGAAAGCGUGGGGAGCAAACAGG